rnacentral:tRNA from 1 species
UGAAAAAUUAGUUAAUACUAAUAACACAAGCUUGUCAAGCUUGAAUAAUCUAAUAGAUAUUUUUU